ACCAAACACUAGUGUCAAAAUCUGAGACGUAACAUUUUUCUUCUCUAUAUAUAUAAUUUAUAUAAACAUUGGGUUUAACAAAUAACAACUUUGAUCAAAAGGCACGUCUCUUGCUACCUCAAUUAUACUUACUUAAUUGUAUGACUUGCAAAAUCCAGAGCUUCAGUCAUGGGUCUCUUUCCUUGUAGCUCCGCUUAACUCUCUUAUUCUCUGGCUCUUUGCCCCCCCUCCUCUCCCAUAUAUACCUCUGCAGACUGCUUCCACCAUCUACUUCCACGCCUCUUCUUCUCACCGCCGCCGGCCAUCAUCAAUAACACACAGGCCGGGCAAACCCAGAAUUCGUUAGCUGUAUUUUGAUGGGAUUAUUGAAGGAAGAGGGAGAUGAAAGACGCAAGGAACAGGAACAGGAACAGGAAGAAGAAGAGAUCAGAUUGAAGACAUGCAUAGUUUAUUCGUGGUCAUUAAUGGUAAGCAUGAUAGGGGGCUUAGCAUUGGGAUGGUGGGAGUAUGAAUACCACUCAACAAACAGUCAACUGUGGAUGGUUCCCUUCGGUCUCAUUCUGCUUCUUACGCCGCUCGUUGUUUGGUUCUCCAUCUUUGUUUCCGACAUAUGUAGCUCUGAGGUGGCCGACGGCCUUCCAAGGGCGAGUCAACUCGUUCGUCCACCAGAUGACUCGGUUUCUGAUCAUGACCCUGAGAGAUGAUGAUCGAAAUCAUGCAUAUUGGAUGAUCAUUGAUGUACACAAUCACCUUUUUUUCUUCUAAUUCCUAAGUUUUAGAGACGCAUAAUGAAUUUAAUACGCAUGAAUCGACUCUCCAUCCCUUUGUUCUGUAAAAGUUAUUCAAAAAGCUUUGGUACCUCUAUAUAUUUUUAUUUGUAAUACCCGCUCUUCUUUUUAA